UCUUAUGGAUGAGCAAAGCAAGUGGCUUUUUGAGAUGGAAUCCACUCCUGGUGAAGAUGCUGUUUA
rnacentral:pre_miRNA from 1 species